GAAACGCGAUAGUUAAUGUGAAUUGCAGAAUUCAGUGAAUCAUCGAGUCUUUGAACGCACAUUGCGCCCAUAGGUAUUCCUUUGGGCAUGUCUGUUUGAGCGUCAUUACAACCCUCAGCUAACCGCUGGUUUUGAACCUGAACGGGUGACACCGCGCCGGUUUUAAAGUUGUAAGCUCUGCUGGCCGCUCUGCCCAACCAGAACAUAGUAAGCACUACUUGUCCGGGUGAAGCUGAACGGUACGGCCUGAACAAAACCUACCCACUCUCAAGGUUUGACCUCAGAUCAGACAAGGAUACCCGCUGAACUUAAGCAU
rnacentral:misc_RNA from 1 species